CCGUGGGACACCCUUCCCCAACGAAGGGCAAAUAUCUGCGAGGGUAUCAUGA
rnacentral:ncRNA from 1 species